UCUCCUGAGUCAAAAAAAAAAAAAAGAUUCGUUCAAAUGAACGAAACGUUCAUUAACAGAUACAAAACUAGUGCCAGGUUAACAUCAGAAUCAGAAUCAGCUUUAUUGCCAGAGCUGUCCUUCGAGGUGCAGCACGGGUGUUGGAUAUUGACCUUACCUGGGGUAUCUCCCCAUAUUUAUAAAACACGUCCACCACAUCUUUGUUUCUCUCAAAGGUUGGACUGGGCUCAUUGUCUCCCCAGUCCAGAGCCGGAUCAUGAUUCAGGAUCAGAUAAGGAUUAUGCUUCAGGAUGGACACAUGGAGCAGAAGCAUGGAAGCAUUUUACCGGGAGAGGAUCCUGGCCUCUGGCCCUGUCCAUCAAAACCGGAAAAACUAAAUUGGCUUUCAAACAAUCAAAAGAAAAUGCAUAUUUUUGUAUGGGUCCUCAGAGAUGCAAUCACUGAUGGCAUCCUGAUGAGUGAUUGUUUUUCAAAUUAAAAAAAUAAAUAAAUUAAGAGGAGUAAAGCUCGGAUCAAAACCAGGAGGAAAGCUGGUAGGGGCAGGAUGGAUCCAUGCACCUAAACAGAGUGGCAAAUAGUGGGCAACCAGUUGGGGGGAAGAGGGAGGGCUGGGAGGAAACAAGAAAAGUUGAGGCCAGUCUU